CACAGAGGGGGGCGUGGCCAGGGAUAGGGGAGCAGGGGGUCCAAAGGGAGAGAGGCGUCCUCCUGAGAGUGUACUCCUGCCGGCAGGAGACCUGAGCGCUGGUCUGUGCACUCACAAGUCACCCUCUAACCCAGGGAACAAGCUGGCAUUCUGAGAGUCCAGAGCCCCGCUUCCUGCCCAGGGCCAAGGUCUGCUUCUUGGUCCUGAACGUUCCGGCCCAGGCCUCAGUGUCUCCACAGGAGGAAGUGGGUGGAGAUGCCUUAAGGAAAAUGAAGAAUCUUCACCGGGACCACUGCAUCUUUUAUCCUCCAAGGAGACCAGAUGACUGACCAUACCCCGGGGAGCCUCCUGGGCUUCUGAGGAGGAGAGGAGCUCCUGAGUCAACAGUUGGCAGUUUGAAGUUUCUGUUUGCUGUUUGCAAGGCGUUCAGAUGAGCAGGAAACUCGGUCGCAGCCCCGUGC